rnacentral:lncRNA from 1 species
AGUUAUUUCACAAUCUCAUCAACUUUCCUUUUUUCUCUUCUCAUUUUUUAGCUGGUACUUUUGAGAAUUUUGUAGACUGCAGUUUGAGCAUAGUCAACGCCCUUUCCAAAGUUCUCCUACCCCUCCUCAACCUACCCAACUCAGAUGUCUUUUUACAAACAAAACAAAACCCAUGGAUUCCAAUUUGUACUGUUUGUAUACUAUUGGAUAAAUGGCCAUCCACUUGAACAUGAUCUCUUACACGCAUUCUCGCGACCGGCCAGGAAAGACGCAACAAACCGGAAUCUUCUGCGGCAAAAGCUUUAUUGCUUACAUCUUCAGGAGCAAGAGAGCAAGAGAGCAAGAGCUUUAUUGCUUACAUCUUCAGGAGCAAGAGAGAGAAUGGCGAAACCCCGUCCCUUUUUAAGGAGAAUUAUCCUCCGCCUAGGACGUAUCACUCCCUGAUUGGCUGCAGCCCAUCAGCCAAGUUGUCGUCACAGGGAAGGCAGAGCACAUGGAGUGGAGAACUACCCUUGGCACAUGCGCAGAUUAUUUGUUUACCAAUUAGAACACAGGAUGUCAGCGCCAUCUUGUAACAGCGAAUGUGAGGGCGGCUCCCCACAAUGAUCC